UAGGAAGCACAAGGACAGGGCAUGUGU
rnacentral:piRNA from 1 species